rnacentral:rRNA from 1 species
CGGACGGGUGAGUAACGCGUGGGUAACCUGCCUUGUACAGGGGGAUAACAGUUGGAAACGGCUGCUAAUACCGCAUAAGCGCACGGCAUCGCAUGAUGCAGUGUGAAAAACUCCGGUGGUAUAAGAUGGACCCGCGUUGGAUUAGCUAGUUGGUGAGGUAACGGCCCACCAAGGCGACGAUCCAUAGCCGACCCGAGAGGGUGAACGGCCACAUUGGGACUGAGACACGGCCCAA